rnacentral:rRNA from 1 species
UACGUAGGGCGCAAGCGUUUGUCCGGAAUUAUUGGGCGUAAAGAGCUCGUAGGCGGCUUGUCACGUCGGGUGUGAAAGCCCGGGGCUUAACCCCGGGUCUGCAUUCGAUACGGGCUAGCUAGAGUGUGGUAGGGGAGAUCGGAAUUCCUGGUGUAGCGGUGAAAUGCGCAGAUAUCAGGAGGAACACCGGUGGCGAAGGCGGCAUCCUGGACCGGCAUUGACGCUGAACAGCGAAAGCUAGGGAGCAAACGGG